GCAGCACAGAGAGAAUGAUGCCUGACCCAAGACUUGAAAGAUGAGGAAAAGAUCACCAGGUGGAAAAGAUGGCAAGGGAAGGAGUUGGAACCAGAGGAGAGUCUGAACCAAGGCAUGCCUGGGAAUUACCAGCUCAUGAAAGAAUAACACCCGGUGAAUUACCUACCCUGUGUUCUCCAGGUGCGCACGGGCGAAACCCCAGGGUACAACAAAUAGCACAGGGAAGGCUGGGGAGAAAACACAGGCAAAUGUAAUUAGGAGUUGGUUGGCCAAACCUGCCUGCCUCCCACCACAGCGGAUGAGGCUAACCACAGGUGGUUACAACAUCAAACCUAACAUCAUGGAGUUGUGGACUGUGAGAGCGGGAGAGAAACAGGGUGGCACAGGGCCCAUCCAUUGUUUUACCAACCAAGAAACCAGGGCCCAGAGGGGGAAAGCGACUUGAUGCUUGUCACAAAGCAACUGAGAAUAAAUUCAAGGAUAUUAACCCGAA